UGGGGUGACAAUUGUUAGUAAAAUUACAUAGAUUCCAGGUGUACAAUUCUGAAUAAGAAAAAUUUUUAAAUUUAAUUCUUUUAGUCCUCAAAUCACAGCUGUUUUCAUUUUUCAUCUACCGGUUUGCUUUUUGCGCAUUCGCUUUCUCAUCGUAAUCACAACAUCCUGUGUUUGUGCUUACGCGAUGGGUUUCUUCCCAGUUUACGUAAACAAAGAUAAUAAGUAUUAUGUCGUGCCCUCUCUCACCGGAAGGCAGCCGGAGGACACGAGGGAGAGCCGGCCGCAAGAAAGACCUUGGUUUAGCAAGGAACAGCAGUCGGGGAUUGGGCGAGGCAGGGGCAGACAGCCACCUCGAGACCCCAAUUACCCGGGCCCCGCCCCGCGUCCCAGGCCCCGCCCCGCGUCCCAGGCCCCGCCCCGCGUCCCAGGCCCCGCACCACCUCCCAGGCCCCGCACCACCUCCAGGGCCCGCCCCUGCCCGUCGCCAUAUUGUUGCCUCAGCGCUAGGCGGGAGCAGCCGGAGUUGCAUUCGGGCUGCGCUGCUACCUUGUCCAUCCCGCAGAAACCCCGACCCUCUCUGUUUCCUCAUUGCACCUGGACCGGCUAGCCCGGAGCUCCCGGACGUCCGCCGUGUGGCCGCGAGAAACUUCCUGCACGCCUAUAAUGAGCCUGGCACAGUGGUGAACUGCUUCAAGGGCACUGGAGAUAAUGAUGAUGCUUGAACUGAACAAUUAAGGUGAGAUUUAUGACCUAUGUAGUAUGCUUUUCCUAUUCAGAUUUCCUUAUAGAAUUUAAAAGUGGUGUUUUAACCUUGAUGAAGAUUGUUGUCUUUGAGCAACCAUUCCAAACUGGAGUAUAAAAGGCUUCACAGUCCAUUUUAAGGUGAGUUCUGAAAAUAACAUAGCAGGGUACCUUCAUUCAUUCAGCUUACACUAAAGAAGUUUCAAAGGACUUACUGUUUUCAGAGAAGAAAAAGGUAACAUUUUUAAUGUCUAAGCUGAUUAUAGUUAUGUUACUGUGUAGAUUGCAUGAAUUUAGCUUUUGUUAGAUGUCACUGGGAAAUAAGAUGUUUUGUACAAGUAGCUGUAUCACCAUGUAUAUAUAUAUGCUUAUUAUAUACAACUCUACUCAGAAUCACAGAGAUGUUUGUAUGUAUAUUAGUUGUCUUAGCAAAUGUCAACCGACUCCCAAAUAGGAUAUCUGGGAGGCCUCAAAUUAUAGAUGGGAAAUGUAAACAUUGUAUCCUAUUUCCUGGUGUGUGGGUCUAACAUGCCCCAAAUUUGUUUGAUCAGAAUAAUGGCACAAACUAGGAAAUCCCAUGUUGUUAUGAAAAAAAGAAAGUGCCCUGAUAAAAUUGCAAAUGACAAAUCACAAGGCAUUUCCAAGACUUAAUUUGAUGCAAAUAGCCAUCUGAGUGGAGGCGGUUAGCAUGUAUAAUCUGGUUUAUCAUUUGUUACACCCUCAUGACAGAACAUGGAACUUUGUGUUCACGUGUCUCAGACAUUGUGUGAAAGGAACAGCCUUGGGAUGGGGGUUGCUGGGAAGGUUCCCAGUGUUGGUGAUGACCAAGCUGAGUGUUUCUGAGGGCCCUGAGUGACUCGGGGUGGAGUCACUAGCAGCGGGAACAGUAUGUGCCAGGUGAAGGCAAGGGAGAGAGUGCGAGCUGAGCAAGUGGAAUUGAAUUUCCGCCCCAUCUGUGCAUUUCCGAGUAGUGACGGAAGCCGAGAAUGGGGAGCAGGGCCAAGUGUCUUGCCUUAGAAGUUGGACUUAGACUUGAAUCUCUGGACUACUGAGGAAGGUUGAGGAGGGGGCAUUUGACAAAUGUCAGAAUAGUUGGUGUGCUUUUUUGGUUUUGUUACUCCUUUUUCUAUAAGUUGAAGUUGUUUAAGCAAGAUUGCAAAGUAUUAAAGGAACCAAUUUAGCGCGUUGUUACCUAUUUCAGGAAAUUAAGAGGCUUGAGAUUGUUUCAGUUUCUUCUCUGACAUUAAUUUAGUCUGGGCCUUGGGCACAGUGCUCCAUUGGCAGUCGAAAGACUCCAAGAGGUAUAUGCACCUUGAUUGCCUGAUACUUUUGUUGGCCAGUUUAAAUUGUAUUAAUUGCAGUAAUUACUGGAGUAUUAAUUUAAAAGAGCCAAUAAGAGUUAGGGACAAGUUGCUACAAGUUUUAUCAGAAUAGUGUAGCAUGUUGUUGGAAAUACAGAAUUCUUACACAUUAUAGGACAUGUUCAGUUACAUUACACUGGGUCACAUUUGCACAUAACUAGGAGAUAGCCACAGAAUGUUUACUGCAACUGCAGUGGUCUUGCAAAUUCAUCCUAGGCAAUAUCACAAUUAUUGUUCACGUCUUUAUUACCUUCCCAUUGAGCGAUUCACAAUAUCUACUUUCCAUGUUGAUUAUCAUUUUUGCUCUAGAGUCGUGCUGUCCAAUACAGCUAUUGGCUCUUUAAAUAUGGCUAUUCAAAUCAGUUAAAAUUAAAUAAAAAUAAAAUUAAAAUUAAAAUUCAGUUCCUCCCUCCUCCCAGCCGUAUGCCAAGUGUUCAGUAGCCACAUGUGGCUAAUGGCUGCCAUAUUAGACACUACAGAUGGUGGACAUCUCCACGCUUGCAGAAAGUUCUGUUAGUGCUACGCUAAAGGUUGUCUACUUUUACAAAUUUCAAUAUACUUACAAGCCACUUACUACUGAAAUAUUUACAGAUUAAGUGAUAUAAUUUGGUUCAAAAUAGGGAAAUGGGAGAAUGGGGAGUUAUGGAAGAAAUAGGAUUUGCCAUAAGUUGAUAAUUGUGAAACUAGGUUUAGGGUCCAUGGAGUUUCCUUAUAUUAUUCUCAUUAUUCAGGAAUUUUGUGUAUGCUUGAAAUUGCCCAUAAUAAAGAAUUAAAACAGAAGCUUGAAUAGGAACAGCGCUCCCAUCAGUGCUUAGAAGCAGCCGUCUGUAAAUGGGCAUCUGAAAUCCCACCCGACAGGCUGAUGCCUGUAGUGGAGGAAGGGUUUUAAUCCUGCCCCAGGGUUCCCUCCAAGGGGUACACGUAGUACCACAUUCUUGUUUAAGGUUUAUUUCAUUCCAACUUCAAACACACAUGUAACAGCACGUUUGUUAAGAGUUGGAACUGCCCAAAUGAGUAUUGAGGGUAGAAUGUGCUAUAUUACAAUAUUAUAUUAAAAAUUCCAUUGCUGCUGACAUUAAUUUUGGCAAACUCAAAAUCGUGUUCGUGAUGAAGAGAACAGAGUCUGUUUACUCAAUGGUUGGCGUAUUUUUGUUCACUGCCAGGUCAGUCAGCUUCUGUCUCUGGUUUCCCCGUUAUCAGCUCCUAUGGUAACGGCACUGGAAGAGAGAAAGCAGGGGUCUUCGAGAAAAUCCCUGGCACGAGAGGAAAGCCAUUGGUGAACACUGCUACUGUGUCUGUCACCAAAGGGCUGUUUGAAGUUGUUACAGAGACUUGCCUACUUUGGUCUCCUGCUGCAUCUCUAACAAGCGGUAGCAGAGCUUAUUGUGCGUAGAGAGGAGCGGUGGAGAGCAAGGUCUUUGGGGCAGACUUGGCCUUGAGUACCAGCUGCAGUCAGCUGAGACCCAAGGAAGGGAAGUGUGAGCCCUCACCAGCUCUCGUAGGGAACAUUAGGUGCCUGGCGCGUACUUGAGUGCUCUGUAAAUGACAGCUCUUGCUAUUAUGUAUUCUCUGUGCAGAAAGGAACUGGGGCUCUUUGUUUUAUUUCCCUCAAAUGCUGAUAUUCAUAGAAUCAUGUAGAGCAGUGUGCAGGUCUACAGGAAUGUAAUGGUACCUUUUUAUUUUACAGGGUUCUGAAGU
rnacentral:lncRNA from 1 species